rnacentral:rRNA from 1 species
CGCGUAGGCGGUUUUGUCGGUCAGAUGUGAAAGCCCAGGGCUCAACCCUGGACGUGCAUUUGAAACAGCAAGACUUGAGUACGGGAGAGGAAAGCGGAAUUCCUGGUGUAGAGGUGAAAUUCGUAGAUAUCAGGAGGAACACCGAUGGCGAAGGCAGCUUUCUGGACCGAUACUGACGCUGAGGCGCGAAGGCGUGGGUAGCGAACAG